AAGCGUUAAGGGACGAGAUCAGCGGCGGCUGGAGGAGACUCGUCUUCAGAUCCUCCGUCAGUCAGGACGCCAUCGUGAGAACAGAGCUGUUUACAGUCGGUAAGGCUCGACCUCUGCGACCCCGUCAUGCGGGCCGGCUGGAGGCGGCGGGGCUGAAAUCACAACACUGAUCUAAAGAGGAAAUGUGUUUCAACAUUUAAGAAUUUAUUACAUCCUCCUAAAAAAGGUUGUGAUAUUUUUUUCCUGCCAGUUUUUUUCAUCAAGGAAAAAUGUUCAUAUUUCCUCAGAAUCUUUACGGACAAACAUUCAUGCUCCCCGGAGGAUGAACCCUCUGUUCAUCUCCACAGACCAGAUGAGCCUGAGGCUCCUGGAGCGUAAAUCAUCAGCUUUGCACACGAGCUGCUGCCUCUCGUUUUCUGACAGGUUGACCACCAUGAAAUUGCACUGAGGACAUUCCAGCUCCCAGCAGGAUAAACCAGGAUUACUGAUCUUUUUCUCACAAUUUCCAGCGUUGACAGGUUGUUACAUGAAUCUGAGCGAGGUCACAGCAGACCAGGAGUUAUUGGUUGGUAUUUGACGUGUAGACUGACACAGAGGUUCAGGUGCAGUGAUCAGCUGAUCCAUGACAGCAGUGAUGAUGUAAUUAACCUCGACGCGUUCACCGUCCUGUUUUCUACACCGACAAAUCUGUCGUCCGGGAGCAGCUGUGGAGUUUGAGUUUGUGCGAUGGGGUCACGGGGCGGAGCAGGAACAUCAGAAUAACCACCAAGAAAAAUUGGGUGCUUUUUAAUGACUGCGUCUGACCUGAGCUCAGCUCCAACCAGCCAGGAGGAAGGAAAACACCUGUGCAGAGAAGGAGAGCUGACGGCAGCUCAGCCACAGAGACGAGACUGACCGCUGUGGAUCACGUCACCGACGCGGAAUAAUACGUUUUGCAGAUAAAGACGUCUGAUCUCAAAGCAGCUCCUUCCUCUGAACAAACUACAGACUGAUCCUGGGAUGAGUGUGGCCUUCACACACCACCUGUUGAAGUCUUAUCAUCAUCGUGGGGAGGUCACGUUGUGAUUGUUAAGUCCAGUUCAUUGUCAAUACGGCUGAAGGAAGUGUUGUUCCUCAUGAACCAACGUGCAGAAAACAGUGUAAACAGAGACACAGCAGCUCUACGAAGGUGGGCGUGAUGCAUAUGACUACUGGCGUUUCAGAUGCUUGUGCACUCCUGAACGUAAACACAUGAUAAAUAAUAAACCCUCAGAACAUUAUUAACAGCACAAAUAGAACAGUGGUUAGCAGUGUAAUUAUCUUGAUAUCAUUACUGCAAAUAACUGCAGGAGGAUAUAGAUCAGAGCAAAAGUACAUGUUACUAUAGUAAACAUAGAAUAUAUUAUUAGAAUAUGUAAUAGUAUAAGGAUAUAUGAUGAUUAAAAUAUAUAACCUGACAAUA